GUAGGUGAACCUGCGGAAGGAUCAUUAAAGAGUGCCGGACGGGACAAGCUACCGUCCGACUCCCAACCCCAGUGCAAGCCUCACCGAGUUGCUUUGGCGGCCCGCGCGCGCGCGCCGGUGGCCCCGUACUCUGGGGCCCUCGACCGCCCGCUCGUCGGUCCGCCGGGGGAUCGAACCGAAACUCAGCUGCGGCUCGGCCUCGCGGUCGGGUCCCGAAACGUCUGAAGCGGUAGUCCACUUGACGUGGAAG
rnacentral:misc_RNA from 1 species